rnacentral:lncRNA from 1 species
UUUUUUGAGAGAGAUAGGUAGCACGCUACCCGUUUCGUUUAUUUCAUUUAGAAAUAAAUUUAGCUGGAAAUAUGAAUCAACUAGGAUUCGAACUUAGGACCUCGAAUACCAACUACUAAGUUCUUUACCACUUGCUCUAGGGACAGCCAGUGAUCCCUAGCAUCUUCAGAUCACAGAAUCUAGCCCACAUGUUAUUAUUA